rnacentral:rRNA from 1 species
UGGGGAAUAUUGCACAAUGGGCGCAAGCCUGAUGCAGCCAUGCCGCGUGUAUGAAGAAGGCCUUGGGUUGUAAAGUACUUUCAGCGGGGAGGAAGGCGUUGAGGUUAAUAACCUCAGCGAUUGACGUUACCCGCAGAAGAAGCACCGGCUAACUCCGUGCCAC